CCGGGACAGACACUCCCGGGACAUGAGGGGAGUGGAGGCCGGGGCUAAGGGAAACCGACUGAGGAGUCUGAAGGCAUCAUCUUGUGAGGACUGAGUAAGCAUCUGGACCUCUACGGUUCCUCCCAGAGAGCCAAAGCACUGGGUCGUGAUGUGUGGCUGUGUGGCGUUGCAGAAGGUGUCCACACCUGGAGGUUUACAGAGGAGAAUAAAACCAUACAGGAGAUAUAUCUCAAUGAGAUUCACAGCCCACCAC
ensembl:lncRNA